GAUGAACGCUGGCGGCGUGCCUAAUACAUGCAAGUCGAACGCGAGAGGAGGGAGCUUGCUCCCUCUGAUCGAGUGGCGGACGGGUGAGUAACACGUAGGCAACCUGCCCAUCAGUCCGGGAUAACCGCGGGAAACCGUGGCUAAUACCGGAUGAUCCUCUCCACCGCGGGGUGGGGAGUUGAAAGACGGUUUCGGCUGUCGCUGAUGGAUGGGCCUGCGGCGCAUUAGCUGGUUGGGGGGGUAACGGCCCACCAAGGCAACGAUGCGUAGCCGACCUGAGAGGGUGUUCGGCCACACUGGGACUGAGACACGGCCCAGACUACUACGGGAGGCAGCAGUGGGGAAUCUUCCGCAAUGGACGCAAGUCUGACGGAGCAACGCCGCGUGAGUGAAGAAGGGUUUCGGCUCGUAAAACUCUGUUGUUAAGGAAGAACGACAGGUAGAGUAACUGCUACCUGUGUGACGGUACUUAACCAGAAAGCCACGGCUAACUACGUGCCAGCCGCCGCCGUAA
rnacentral:rRNA from 1 species